rnacentral:rRNA from 1 species
GAUGAACGCUGGCGGCGUGCCUAAUACAUGCAAGUCGAGCGAACGGACGAGAAGCUUGCUUCUCUGAUGUUAGCGGCGGACGGGUGAGUAACACGUGGAUAACCUACCUAUAAGACUGGGAUAACUUCGGGAAACCGGAGCUAAUACCGGAUAAUAUUUUGAACCGCAUGGUUCAAAAGUGAAAGACGGUCUUGCUGUCACUUAUAGAUGGAUCCGCGCUGCAUUAGCUAGUUGGUAAGGUAACGGCUUACCAAGGCAACGAUGCAUAGCCGACCUGAGAGGGUGAUCGGCCACACUGGAACUGAGACACGGUCCAGACUCCUACGGGAGGCAGCAGUAGGGAAUCUUCCGCAAUGGGCGAAAGCCUGACGGAGCAACGCCGCGUGAGUGAUGAAGGUCUUCGGAUCGUAAAACUCUGUUAUUAGGGAAGAACAUAUGUGUAAGUAACUGUGCACAUCUUGACGGUACCUAAUCAGAAAGCCACGGCUAACUACGUGCCAGCAGCCGCGGUAAUACGUAGGUGGCAAGCGUUAUCCGGAAUUAUUGGGCGUAAAGCGCGCGUAGGCGGUUUUUUAAGUCUGAUGUGAAAGCCCACGGCUCAACCGUGGAGGGUCAUUGGAAACUGGAAAACUUGAGUGCAGAAGAGGAAAGUGGAAUUCCAUGUGUAGCGGUGAAAUGCGCAGAGAUAUGGAGGAACACCAGUGGCGAAGGCGACUUUCUGGUCUGUAACUGACGCUGAUGUGCGAAAGCGUGGGGAUCAAACAGGAUUAGAUGCCCUGGUAGUCCACGCCGUAAACGAUGAGUGCUAAGUGUUAGGGGGUUUCCGCCCCUUAGUGCUGCAGCUAACGCAUUAAGCACUCCGCCUGGGGAGUACGACCGCAAGGUUGAAACUCAAAGGAAUUGACGGGGACCCGCACAAGCGGUGGAGCAUGUGGUUUAAUUCGAAGCAACGCGAAGAACCUUACCAAAUCUUGACAUCCUUUGACAACUCUAGAGAUAGAGCCUUCCCCUUCGGGGGGGCAAAGUGACAGGUGGUGCAUGGUUGUCGUCAGCUCGUGUCGUGAGAUGUUGGGUUAAGUCCCGCAACGAGCGCAACCCUUAAGCUUAGUUGCCAUCAUUAAGUUGGGCACUCUAAGUUGACUGCCGGUGACAAACCGGAGGAAGGUGGGGAUGACGUCAAAUCAUCAUGCCCCUUAUGAUUUGGGCUACACACGUGCUACAAUGGACAAUACAAAGGGCAGCGAAACCGCGAGGUCAAGCAAAUCCCAUAAAGUUGUUCUCAGUUCGGAUUGUAGUCUGCAACUCGACUACAUGAAGCUGGAAUCGCUAGUAAUCGUAGAUCAGCAUGCUACGGUGAAUACGUUCCCGGGUCU